UAUAUCUACAUUUCAAUAGCGGAGGAAAAGAACCCAACAGGGAUUGCCUCAGUAACGGCGAGUGAAGCGGCAACAGCUCAAAUUUGAAAUCUGGCUUCGGUCCGAGUUGUAAUUUGCAGAGGAAGUCUCGGGUGCGAUACCGGUCUAAGUUCCUUAGAACAGGACGUCAUAGAGGGUGAGAAUCCCGUAUGCGACUGGUGGUCAACCCCAUGUGAGGCCCCUUCGACGAGUCGAGUUGUUUGGGAAUGCAGCUCAAAAUGGGUGGUAAAUUUCAUCUAAAGCUAAAUACCGGCCAGAGACCGAUAGCGCACAAGUAGAGUGAUCGAAAGAUGAAAAGCACUUUGGAAAGAGAGUUAAACAGUACGUGAAAUUGUUGAAAGGGAAGCGCUUGCAACCAGACUUGCUCGCGGGUGAUCCACCGCCCUUCGGGGUGGUCUACUCGCCCGCGAUCAGGCCAACAUCGGUUUCGGUGGCUGGAUACAGACCCCGGGAAUGUGGCUCCCUUCGGGGUGUGUUAUAGCCCGGGGUGCAAUGCAGCCCACCGGGACCGAGGACCGCGCUCCGGCUAGGAUGUUGGCGUAAUGGUUGUCAGCGACCCGUCUUGAAACACGGACCAAGGAGUCUAACAUCUAUGCGAGUGUUUGGGUGUCAAACCCAUACGCGUAAUGAAAGUGAACGGAGGUGGGAACCCCUUGGGGUGCACCAUCGACCGAUCCUGAUGUCUUCGGAUGGAUUUGAGUAUGAGCAUAGCUGUUGGGACCCGAAAGAUGGUGAACUAUGCCUGAAUAGGGUGAAGCCAGAGGAAACUCUGGUGGAGGCUCGCAGCGGUUCUGACGUGCAAAUCGAUCGUCAAAUUUGGGUAUAGGGGCGAAAGACUAAUCGAACCAUCUAUUAGCUGGGACCUGCCAAUUUUCCCCCCCCG
rnacentral:rRNA from 1 species